rnacentral:rRNA from 1 species
UGGCGGCGUGCCUAUACAUGCAAGUCGAGCGAAUGGAUUAAGAGCUUGCUCUUAUGAAGUUAGCGGCGGACGGGUGAGUAACACGUGGGUAACCUACCCAUAAGACUGGGAUAACUCCGGGAAACCGGGGCUAAUACCGGAUAAUAUUUUGAACUGCAUAGUUCGAAAUUGAAAGGCAGGCUUCGGCUGUCACUUAUGGAUGGACCCGCGUCGCAUUAGCUAGUUGGUGAGGUAACGGCUCACCAAGGCGACGAUGCGUAGCCGACCUGAGAGGGUGAUCGGCCACACUGGGACUGAGACACGGCCCAGACUCCUACGGGAGGCAGCAGUAGGGAAUCUUCCGCAAUGGACGAAAGUCUGACGGAGCAACGCCGCGUGAGUGAUGAAGGCUUUCGGGUCGUAAAACUCUGUUGUUAGGGAAGAACAAGUGCUAGUUGAAUAAGCUGGCACCUUGACGGUACCUAACCAGAAAGCCACGGCUAACUACGUGCCAGCAGCCGCGGUAAUACGUAGGUGGCAAGCGUUAUCCGGAAUUAUUGGGCGUAAAGCGCGCGCAGGUGGUUUCUUAAGUCUGAUGUGAAAGCCCACGGCUCAACCGUGGAGGGUCAUUUGGAAACUGGGAG